rnacentral:rRNA from 1 species
CCUACGGGCGGCAGCAGUGGGGGAUAUUGCACAAUGGGGGGAACCCUGAUGCAGCGACGCCGCGUGGGUGAAGGAGCGUUUCGGCGCGUAAAGCCCUAUUGGCAGGGAAGAAGAUGACGGUACCUGGCCAAGAAGCCCCGGCUAACUACGUGCCAGCAGCCGCGGUAAUACGUAGGGGGCAAGCGUUAUCCGGAUUUACUGGGUGUAAAGGGGGCGCAGACGGCAAUGCAAGCCAGGAGUGAAAGCCCGGGGCCCAACCCCGGGACUGCUCUUGGAACUGCAUGGCUGGAGUACAGGAGGGGCAGGCGGAAUUCCUAGUGUAGCGGUGAAAUGCGUAGAUAUUAGGAGGAACACCGGUGGCGAAGGCGGCCUGCUGGACUGUGACUGACGUUGAGGCCCGAAGGCGUGGGGAGCAAACAGGAUUAGAUACCCGAGUAGUC